rnacentral:lncRNA from 1 species
CCACCGCGUGCUCUCCGGAGCCGGUCUUCUUCUUCUACUAGCUUUUUUUUCUGUCUAAAUGUAUUUUUUUGCUGGGCACAACGCAAUUUAGCAACCGCAAUAUAUGGCCAAGCCAUGCAAUCGGACCGUACAAAAUCGGUAUUAACGGUUUGCAUGGCUUGGUCGACUGUUUGAGUAGGCCAAACUCAACCCAUGAACACACUUAUGUUG